UCGCCUUGUUCCUGAACAAGCGCUUCAAGCGUGGUAUUAUAGGGAAAUACCACAUCACCUUCGCAGGAACUCUCUUCUUGGGAGACUGCCCCUCGACAUCACCAGGAUCAUCUCGCCUGAUCUUAUACCGCAGGGCUUCGCAGACGGGACAAGCAUCCAAUUUCUCGUAUUCAUCACCACGAUAGAGGAUACAGUCAUUAGGGCAUGCGUGUAUCUUCUGAACAUCCAAUCCGAGAGGGCAAAUAAUCUGUUUAGCUUCAUAUGUUGUGGACGGUAAUUCAUUAUUCUCGGGGAGAAUCUUCUUGACAAUGUUCAACAUCCCCUGAAAUGCCUUAUCGGACACACCAUUUUUUGCCUUCCAUUGCACAAAUUCUAGUGUCGUACCUAGUUUUUUAUGGCCCUGCUGGCAACCUAGGUACAACAAUUUUUGGUGAUCAUCUAUCAUGCGCUGCAACUUUGCUGCUUCCUUCUCAGUUUCACAAUCUCUGUAUGCAUCUCGUAUCACCUGACCAAGGUCAUCAGUAGGGUCAUUUUCUGCAAACUCAUCUUCAUCAGCCUCGCCCAUUGUAGUACCUGCAAAAGCUUGGCCUGCAACCCAGUCCGGAAUGGUGUCAUCUUCCUCCUCCUCCUCGCCAUCUUCCAUUACAACCCCUAGUUCACCGUGCUUGGUCCAAACCAAAUAGUUAGGCAUGAAACCGUAUUUAAACAAGUGGCUGUGAAUAGUCCCCCAGGAAUCCUUUGAAUACUCCUUCCUGUUAUUGCAUUGGAAGUAUGGACAACAUACGAACCCAUUCUCUGGCUUGUUCGCUUUUGCCACUUCGAGAAAAUAAUGCAAGCCAUCAAUAAACACCUUGCUCCGCCUGUCUGCAUUAUACAUCCAUUGCCGGUCCAUCUGCAUCGUAUUACGCAUGAAAAUGGAUUACACUUGACAAUGGAUUACGUGUGAAAAUCGAUUAAAGAUCCAAACAACAUGGUACAAUACAACAACAUGAACAUUCAAAUACACAUAUUUAAAUUAUUAUCUUAACACUGCAUAAGUUGUUCAACUUGAAGACCGUGAUCAUCUCGCGAGGAUGUCCUCAACUGGGCGGCACCGCACUUCGUCAUUAAAGAGGUUAGAUGCUACGGAAAAGGGGACACGGUCACGAUGUCCGUAUCCACUCUUUCUCGUAGAAUCGAACCUCCUUCUUGACAUACAUUGCUGCUCGGCGGAGAACAUCCUCGGCGAGAUGAACACGGUAUGCAAGUUCAACAAGUAGCAGAAGUCAUCUAUGUACAAAAAUUCUUUCCUUACCACUACAGAAGUUGUUGAACUUGAAGACCGUGUUCAUUUCGCGAGGAUGUCCUCAGCUAGGCGGCACCGCACUUCGUCAUGAAAGAGGUUAGAUGCUACGGAAAAGGGGACACGGUCACGAUGUCCGUAUCCACUCUUUCUCGUAGAAUCGAACCUCCUUCUUGACAUACGUUGCUACUCGGCGGAGAACAUCGUCGCAGAAAUGAACACGGUAUGCAAGUUCAACAAGUAUAUGGAUUUAAAAAACCAUAUUGAAUUUGAUAAGAUAAACCGUCUAGACAAGGUAGCAUCAUUUUUAAACCACUGAAAUAAUGCAUACUAUAUAUGACACAUCAAUCUCCCUCACAUUCUAGCUCAAAAUACCUCUCCAUUUUUCUACUUCAUCAUCACAUUGUAGCAAAUAAUCUUUCCAUCUCCAAAGCAUAAAUCAAAGCAUAACACAAGGAUGAAGUAGCAAACCUUCGCAGCACUUGUUGGCUGAGUCAAAUUCCCACGAAAAUGAGGGAAAAAACUUCGGGCAGCACCUCCCUUGCUUGGGCACCACCGGAGAGUAGGUGAAGCUCAGCUCUCUACCAAUGUGCUGGACUGGCUCGGGCUGGAGGAAGAAGAAAGUCUCUGUCUCGGGAUAUGUUAGGGGAUGAGUUUUUAUCCCGGUUAAAAACUCCAACCGAGACAAAAGGAAACACCUUUUGUCCCGGUUGGAAGUUUAUCCCGGUUGGAGGAUCCAACCGGGAUAAAAGGGUCCGGCCACCGACGCCCCCCAGCUAGCCGUUGCAACCGGGACUAAAGGGGCCUUUAGUCCCGGUUGCAAUUACCAACCGGGACUAAUGCUCCCCUCCAAAUUUCCGCACCCCCCGCACCCCCUUUUGUCCUGGGCCAACUUUAAACCGGGAUAAAAGGAGGUGGAUCGAAAGUCAGUUCUCUACUAGUGCUAGACGAGACUCGACCCUACGCUUUGGCGAUGGCUGGAUUUGAGGUAGCCCCUAGUCCUUGACCAAUUGCAAAAUUUUUGUUGCUGAUGCUGAUCUAGUUCCUCUUUAAAAAGUUAAGAAUUUUGUUACUGAUGCUGAUCUAGUUCCUCUUUAAAAAGUGUGCUCCAUUGAAGAAAAGUUUUAAUGCAUUGCAUUUAACUCUUUGUAGUACAGGAGGGGUUAUACAAAAAUUGCCAUCUUGCAAAGAAUUAAACACAUGCCCACGCAUAUUAUCAUGGAAAGUUCUGAAGAGGUGAAGAAGCUACUGCAUGCUUACUCAGAGCUGCAAUAAAUUUUCAAGGCAACAUGCAUGCAUAUCUAUACUCUCACACCCACGGCUGAUUGUUGGUCUAAUUAGCCGCGUUUUUAAGGUUUGGAUUGAGCACUGCUUGGCUUCUCUUUCUCAGACAAGGGCAUAAGUUACAAGUAACUACUAGCUGUCAUGAAACUUCACCGUCUCACACUUGCUCGCCAUCUCGCUAUUGUAGGUCAUAGGCGGGCCGUGCAUAUAUAGGGCUACGGCUGUGGCUGAAACGGCUGCGAUUUCUUCAGUGAAGCAGCUUUUUUUGACUUCAGCUUGUCUGGAUGGAAAAGUGUUUGGCAAAACGGUUUCUCGUAGCUGUGUAACAUGGAUAAAAAUGAGAAAAUGUCUAUAAUAGCCUUGUCCUUUUUAUUUUUCAGUUUUCUCUUUUCUUCCUAUUUUUUCUCCUCUCUUUAUUUCCCAUUCUCUCCCUUUUCUUUUUUUUUCCUUUUCCUUUCUCCUUUUCUCUUCUCUUCCUAUUCUUCCCCCUUUCCUUCCCUUCCUCUCUUUCUUAUCCAUAUUCACCCGUGGCCACCACCGCCCCGCGCCUCUACUCCAUCGCCCUCCAUCUCCAUCUUGCCUUGCGCCCCAGCGCACGCUGUUGACCCCCUCCGCUCCGCGCCUGCCGCCGCCAGCCGUCCUCCACCGCGCGCCCCGCGCCGCCGCUGUCCUUGGCCCCCACACCCCCCGCCGCUGCCUCCCUUGGUCCCCGCGCAUCCACGCCGCUGCCACCCUCCGCCCUCCCCGCACCAGCGCCGCCACCGACGGUGUCCUCCGACCUCCCUGCACCCGCGCCCGCGCCAUCCUUUGGCCCCCGUGCGCCCAUGGGCAAGAUGGGGACUUUGGCCCCACGACGGGGGCGAAGCCGCGGGAAGCCCGUUUUUUAGGCUUCUCCUUCCUCUCCUGGCUCCUCUCAGCGGGAAUCGUGAGGUUUCUCGAGCGGAGCCAUUUCGUUUCUACCUGUUGGGCAGGGUUUUGUGAGAAGUCGGUGGAGAAGCCGCUCAAGAAGCCCUGCGAAAGGGGGCCUAUGUCCCGUCAGUAUGGUACUUUCUGUCAGGCCGUAUGAAAUACAUAUACCACUUUUCGUAUAUGUACGUGGGGACCAUUUUGCACAUUGUACAAAGCGGCUGCCCCGUCCGCCCUAACCAGAGGCUGGAACAUAACACAUACAUACAGAAUCUCUCUCCCUUCACGGUUAGUCUGCUGGUAUGCAAGGUAGUUUAUGCCUGUCGGCAAUUCAUUUACAACUUCGUGCGUUAUGCAUACUUUUCAAUGCAAAUAAUUAGUUUAGCUUUGGAUAAUAUAGCACUUGAGUCGGGGUACUUUAACCCAUGCUCCGCAGGUGCAUCUCCCCCCCCCCCGGUGCGUGCUCGGUUCUGCCUCCACCACUGCAUAUUAUCUCCAAUGAAAGGGUUUUUCUAGUGAAAUCCCUAGAUCGUUUUAGCGAAAUUCUAAGCCCCCAAACCAGAUCUCAUUUUUUUUACGAUGUUGUCGUGUCGCAGCCUACUUCCGAUGCUGCUGCUUAGGAUAGCGAGAGGCGACUAUAUAUUUGCACCAACAUCGUAUGGGUGUUUAGAGUGGUCCUGAAAAUAUGUAGGAAAAGGAUAAUGAAGAAUAGCUAUUCUAGAAAAGAAUUGAAUUCAUGAUAUUAUGGCAGUGGCUAGUUCAAAUUUCAGUUACGAGCUAUGUUUUAAAAGAAUGUACUUCGUACUUUAUAGGUUUUUAACUGCAUGCACAUCACGCUUAUUAUACUCAAUCAUACCAAACCAUCAUUACUUAUGGUUAACGAAAAAAAUCAAUAUGAACAUAUGGUUUUUGGAAGAGGUAUGAUUAUUGAUUGCUUCCGGCUUUUCAAAAAUAUCGAGAUUAUCAGGAGGUAGGUUUGCUUAGCAAUGGAUUGAUGAGUAAAAUAGCAUGGAUAGCAUGUGUGUUGGUGUAGUAGAUAAGAAAAAUCACAAACUAGUGAUUAAGCAUCCCCCAUUUCGAGAGGCGGAGCUUGACCGGAUGUUAAUGGGGCCGGUCCAUGUACUCUGGUAUUUAAUAUCACUUUUACUAAGCCCCGAGUGGUAUGCGAAAUCUUCUCUUCAUGGGCUAGCAUGAUGCAAUGCGGUGUGGGAGAUCCAUCGGGUGUAAGGGUCCAUGUGUCAUUCACCCAAAGUUGUCAUUCACCCAAAGUUUUGGCGCUGUAAUCAAACACAUGCAAAUUGGUAUACAAGCCCAAAACAGAAAACAAAACCAGAUAUAUGACUAUUUGUGUGAUGUUAUUCUAGCCUGGGAUGGUAUGUAGCAAGACACCAGACAGAAUGACGCCCUCAAAGACAACUAAUCACACCCUAAAAGGUACUAAAUAAGAGCAUCUGUAGCAGAGUCCUCAUGCCUCAUAGCCAAAAUAGUUUCUCUCCGUACCCAAUACUCCCUCCGUCCCAAAUUGUGAUCAUUUUAGCAUUUGGAUAUUCAAAGAUUUUGCUAUUCAUCUAGAUAUAUAUUAUGUCUAGAUACAUAGUGAAAGUUAUGCAUGUAGAAAUAUAAAAACGACCUAUAAUUUGAAAUUAAAUGGGGAGAGUACUAGUCUUGCAUUUUCGGUGAUCACUGCCGUAGGCUACCAAAAACGCAUACGCAAAAUCUUGCCCAACCUGUGGAUCCUACAUGUCGGCAUAGCUGAUUCUUCCUUCUCCGCUCUCAUAUUCCGAUGCCACCCCUCCAUCAGAUUCUGGUGAUGCCCCUCCAUCAUAUUCCGGCGUUGCCCCCUCCCUUCCUCAAAUUCUAGCGCAGCCCCACCUUUCCUCCUUGAGCUUGUUGACGCCACGUGGGCCUCGAGCCUCCAUGGCCGGUCUCACCUGCUGAGUCAGGGCAGGUGGAGGGACAUGGAGGUGGCGAAGGUCGCAGUAAGACGGGGUGCUUCUUGGCAGCACACGAGCUUGGCUGAGGUUAAGGACAAGGAGCGCAAGCGCGGAGGCUGGGGGAAGCGAGGAGUUGAAGGUGGGGCUUCUUGGUGUUGGCCCUUGGGACUUGAGGCCGGCAGUGGAUGCGUCAACCGACAGGGAUGAAGAGCUCAAGCAGGCGGUUGACAUACAGUGGCUUGGGUUCAGGCUUGGGUUCAGCUUUCACCAGCAGCAUCGUGACAUUAUGGGCUGCGCAGACGUUGCUUGAUCCGGCCAUGUUGGAGCUUGAUUCACCGACCAGUGUCGUCGUCCAUGGCCUCUAGUAGAGCGUGGUGGUGAAACGAAGUAGGGUACAUGAGGGAGGCAUCCUCCAUGUGGCCAAGCGACAGUGCGGAGCGGUGGUGAAAUGUCCUGGCGCCAAGAAUAAUGGUGGAUGGGUAAGGGGAAUAGGGGAUAUGCAUCACCUUCAUUUGGGUGAGUGGGAGAGUGUUUUUGGUGAUUGCAAAAAAAAAUUGGUAAUGGGAUAGGUUUGGUAAUCCGCUGGAGCACUUAUAUCAUCAAAACAAUAGUUUUUUUUGUAUUGGUGAUGGAUAGGAGUCAUCUGUCUUAGAUGCUGUAAGAAAGUAGUACCCCUUACAUAUAUCAUUGUUGUAAUGUUUUUUGAGACAUGAUAUAUAACGACGCGUUUGAUUUGACGGAUGAGGUCUAUCCCAUAUGUAAAGCGCACGGGUCAUAUGAUGAUUUGUCGUGGAAUCGAUUGAUCCUACUACUGCUUGUUAUUAACACCACACAAAAUAGAUUGACAAUAGAUGGGCUGGUCAUGUGAUACAAACCAAACGCCAAACGCCGCCACUAGGUUCUGAUGAUUCCGUAUCCAUAUCCACCCAACAAACUAAAUACACCGUUAACUAUUCGAACUCGUCUUUGUCUUAGAAAAUAGUGGGAAACAACCUACUACCUUCGAGCUAGUGUAGACGACUGUUGUGUCACGUUAAGUACAUACAAUGUCCACAAACUAUUUAAUUCAUGCAUGGACCCAUAGAUCAUGAUGAUAAGCAUAUGUAGCGAGCAUGGUCUCAUUAAGCCAUAAUUUGUGAUUUUGAUGAUUGAGUGAUAACGUAAUCAUUAGGACUAAUGCUUUGUCUAGCAUGUACCUUUGUAGGUUUUCUAGGUUCCAAGAAUGCAAACCAAAUCAUGGCAAGAUCCAAAUGAUGGUAUUUUUGACAUCCAAGUUAUGGUAUUUGAGUAUCCAAGUCAUGGUAUUCAAGUAUCCAAGUCAUGAUAUUCGAGCAUUCAAGCUAUAAUAUUUAAGUAACCAAGCUAUGGUAUUUAGGAUUAUUCUAUGGUAUUGAAGCAUCCAAAUGAUAGAGAAAAUCCAGAUCCAAAUGACCCAGCCUAAUCCCAGCGGCAACUACUCUUCAUAGCCCAAGAAAAAUAUCAGGGGCAACUAAUCUGCAUGCCGCCAUGCUCCUUGAUUAGUGCUAUCGUGAAUCUAACGUAAACGUUUUUAUUGAAAGUGACUCCUAACAGCAGGGGUGGAUUAGGGCCUAGGGCCACUAGGGCCACCACCCUAGGCGUGGCCCAGAUUAUCCCUUGUACCCACAACUUCAUUUUCCUUGGCCCAGUUGUAUUUCUAAGGACUGGCCCUAGGCAGACGUGGCCCAGCAGAGGGCAGCACAGCAGUAGCCCUGCGGGGCAAAAGGGCAGGCGCACCAUGCACAUCGUCCUGACUGCCUGAUCGACCGCCCGACGCCCUGCCCUGCGCGGUUGCGCUCACGCGCUCCCUCUCAGCAAACCCAUCGGCAAGCGGCGGCGCACGGCGCUCCCGGCUCUCAGAUCGGCGGCCAAUGCGCCUCUAUGCCGUGCUGCCGGGUUCGACGAGGCGAGGAGCGAGCGGGUGCCGGUGCGGCCCGCGGCCGUGCGUGAGAUGCAGGAGGGAGAUCGUCCCUCUUCAUUCCACAAUCCGGCAGUCCCAAUCCUUUCUCUACUUUAGUUGAACAAAUUGAAUUCAUUGAUUAUUUAUGCUGCAAUUUGUAGACUUCUACUAGAAUUACACAAUGGAGAGGACCACCAAGACAUCGAAAUCGUUUUGUUCCCUUUCUCUAACGCUUAUAAUUCCACCAAGGCAACCUACUCUUCAAUAUUCAACCACAAUUAAAGACAAUGGCACAGUAUGAAAUAGUCCAAUACUCCAAUUUGUAUACGUAGGUUCAUGUUCACAUGCUUCUAAAUUGGUGGAGAUGAACUAAAUCGGCACAACUUAUGUAUUUCUUUUUGUACCGCUUCAAGUUUUUAUUGAGCCUGUUGUACACUUAGGUUUGAAAUUGAGAUAUACUCUUAAUCAUAUAUUAUAUGCUAUUACGAUGCUUAUGUGGCUUGUUUUGGGUGGUUUACGUGCUUAGAUAGUGGCCCUAGCGUGAGAAUUCGCUAGCUCCGCCACUGCCUAACAGCAGGGUUGCAUGGUUAUUUGUCUUCUUUGUUAAUUUGUUCUUUUUUUUGACAGAGGGAGUAUAUCUACAUGCAUACAAAUAUUGAACCUACAAAAGUGAAAACGACCUUUUCAAUUUAAAACGGAGGAAGUAGCCUACUACGUGCGUGUCCGGUGUCGCGCUCGGGUCCGACCCGAACCUCUCCUGGUCUGGUCGCACCGCCACGCCGCACGUGUAGGCGUAGGCAGUAGGCACCCGGUGCAGUCGCACCCGACCGCGCGGCCUCCCUCCCCUCCCCUCCUGCUUCCCCCUACUGUCCGUCGCCGAGCCCGAUCCGCCCGCCUUGCAUCGGCCCGGCAUGUACCAGUGGUGCAAGUUCGAGUUUUUGAAGGAGAAGGCGGUCAGCCGCGGUGGCGGGGUGGCGGGGAUCGUCGUCCGCUGCCGUGCUGGCCGAGAUCACGGGCCGCGUCACUUGCUCCUCGGGCGGCCGCGGCCGCGUCGUGGUGGGGUGCGAUGAUGGCACCGUGGGCCUCCUCGACCGCGGGUUCCGACUCUCCUACGGCUUUCAGGCCCACGCCUCCUCCGUCCUCUUCCUCCAGCAGCUCAAGGUAUGGGCGCUCGGACUCGAUCUGAUGCGGCGGGGUUCUUCUCCGCUUCGGAAAGUUGUUGAAUUUGUUGAUAGGUUUCUUGUUACUGUACUAGUUAGUGUCGUCUACUCCUGGGUCAUGUGUAAUUAGGGUGCAUUAAAAACAAAAAAGAAAAGAUGGUAUGUUUCUUCUUACUACUUGGAAUUAGCUGUUCAGUAUGUCCAACUGACGUGAGGCUUGCCAAUCCUCUAUGGUCUUGCAUUGUGACUGAGCUUGCCAGAAAAUCGUGUCUGAAAUUGGACAGUACCUUUGUUGAAUUAGUUGAUUGCAUCAACAGUUAUCAUCAGUGAUUUCAUUUGUUUUGGCCUAUCGAAUUCCCUAUUCUCGGGGUAAAACUACCAUUUGGUUCAGUAUUGGUGCCAGUACCAUAGAUCAUUUACUAGGUACGACCUGUUCCUGCUCUGUGAAACAUUUAUUCACUGUUUUAUUGUGAGCCUACAGCUACAUCAUAUACUUAAUCAACAACUUAUCUGUCUGUGUGAUCAGCAAAAAAAUGUUCUUGUCACGGUUGGAGAUGAUGAUCAGUCAUCUUCGCAGUCAUCGGCUAUAUGUCUCAAGGUUUUCGACCUUGAUAAAGUGGGAUAUUUACAUAUUUGCCACCGUUGCAAAUGGCACUCCUUCAUUUGCCACUUUUACGGGAGCUUCUACGUUUUACCAUCGCGAACGAAAUGAAGCAACAGAUUUGCCACUUUUGCUGACGCGGCACGCCACGUCCCCGUGACAGCGUGUAAAAGGGGUGCCAAAAGACCUGUGUGCCCUCACCUUUCUCUUCCGUUAACCUCCCGCUAACAAACCCGAUGCCAUCCGUCUCCCCUUCCCCAUCUCCACUUCUCCCCCAGGCCUCCCUCCUCCCUGCCUCCCCGACGACAAACCCUAGGUCAGAGCGGUGGUGGCGGCGGAGGCCAUCCAUCUCCCCCAUUCCCCAUCUCCGUGGUCUCCGUGCGCAGCGGGUCAACAAUGGAGCCUCCUCCCUGGUAAGCCGCAAACCAUCCCCUCUUCAUUGAGUGUAGUGUUUGCCUCAGAGGAGUUGGAUGUUUCUAACUCUGUAUUUUCUUAUUUUCAUUAUUAUACCAGGAUUGAUCUUGGAAAUGCGUUUAGAAUAGUGGUUAAGGUUGAAAAGUAUAAGGCAUUUGCGGAGUCUGGUAUUGUAGAAAUUGAUGAACAAGAACAUGUGCUGUGGUUUGAUAGAUGCAGUGGCUAUAAUCUGGAUAGUUUUGUUGUUGAAAUGGCUAGCAAGAUAUACCGAGGAUCUAGUCAAACAAUUUCAGUGUGGUCUGUGGAUGUUGACAGGGAAGCUGAGUGGAAGGUUAGGAAAAAUAAGCAUUUUAAGUCAAUGAUUAUGCACAGAUGGAAUGUUGGAGUAGCGACAUGGCUUGCGUGUGGCGGAUGGGGGAAGAAGGGACGAGCAACGGGCGUGGUUCCGAUCCAACAUUCCAUCUGUGCUUAAUCAUUGACUCAAAAUGCUCAUUUUUCCUAACCUUCCACUCAGCUUCACUGUCAACAUCCACAGACCACACUGAAAUUGUCUGACUAGAUCCCCGGUAUAUCUUGCUAGCCAUUUCAAUAACAAAACUAUCCAGAUUAUAGCCACUGCAUCUAUCAAACCACAGCACAUGUUCUUGUUCAUCAAUUUCUACAAUACCAGACUCCGCAAAUGCCUUAUACUUUUUAACCUUAACCACUAUUCUAAACGCAUUUCCAGGAUCAAUCCUGGUAUAAUAAUGAAAAUACGGAGUUAGAAACAUCCAACUCCUUUGUGGCAAACACUAUACUCAAUGAAGAGGGGAUGGUUUGCGGCUUACCAGGGAGGAGGCUCCAUUGUUGACCCGCUGCACACGGAGACCACAGAGAUGGGGAACGGGGGAGAUGGGGAAGGGGAGAUUGAUGGCCUCCGCCGCCGCCGCUCUGACCUAGGGUUUGUCGUCGGGGAGGCAGGAAGGAGGGAGGCCUGGGGGAGAAGUGGAGAUGGGGAAGGGUAGAUGGAUGGCGUCGGGUCUGUUAGCAGGAGGUUAACGGAGGAGAAAGGCGAGGGCACACAGGUCUUUUGGCACCCCUUUUACAUGCUGUCGCGGUCUGUUGCUUCGUUUCGUUCGCGAUGACAAAAACGUAGAAGCUCCCGUAAAAGUGGCAAAUGAAGGAGUGCCAUUUGCAACGGUGGCAAAUAUGUAAAUAUCCCUGAUAAAGUACAAGAAGAGGGAUCAAGUACAACAACUCCUUUCUGUGUUCAAAUUCUGCGCGUCUUCACUGACCAAUUUCCUCAAGCAAAGGUAAAUUGUCCUAGUUCAUUCUGACCGCAGUGUAAUGCAUUUCAGAUGAUCUUUACUGGAUUUGUAUGGAUUAUACGUAUGUAUGUUUGCAUACGAUUCUAGUUUAAUUGGCUAUUUUGCUGACUUUUGCAGAUUACAUCGUUUAUGGUUCUAGAAGAAGCACCACUAUAGUGUUGAUUGCCAUUGGACUGGACAAUGGUUUCAUUUAUUGCAUCAAAGGAGACAUCGCACGUGAGCGUGUUACACGCUUCAAGUUGCAGGUUGAGGCUGAUGGCAGCACUAGUUUGCCUAUCACUGGUCUUGGUUUCCGAGUUGAGGGGCAAGCACAUCAGCUCUUUGCUGUAACUCCUAGCUCUGUAUCCUUGUUCAGCUUGCAUGUUCAACCACCAAGGAGGCAAACACUUGAUCAGAUUGGUUGCCAGACCAAUGCUGUGGCAAUGAGUGACCGAAUGGUAGGGGUUUGCACAUGUUCCUCUGCUAAUUUUCUAAUCAUGUAGCUUUACCGGUUCAUUUUGCAAACUUUUGUGCAAUUUAAUAUGCUUUAGGACUUAUUUGGUCAGUUGCUUGACUUGCAAAUAAUUUAGACAGACUAGGGUGCAGUUCAUGACCAAAAGAUGUUUUACUAGCAGGAACUUUGUGGUUAAUUUGUCUAGCCUUGAAUUUGCUGUAACCUGCCAACUACAACGCUGUUGCAGCAACAACAAACCCUUGGCGGGUAACGUGUGUGCAUUGUCCAAAUAGGCUCAGUACUAAAAACGGGGUCCUAAUCCACAAAAUCACUAUCCAGUUGGUUACAGACGUUGGCCAUGUGGUUUUGUCCAUAAGACAAUGUAUACAACAAAUUUAGAAAACUUUAGGCUGGUUUUAUAGUUUCGGGCAAUCAGUUAUUUUGUUGCUCAUGUACUUCUUUAUCCAUCAUACCUGUGUUAUUCUAAUACAUUUGUUACUAUAAUUUGAUCUUUUUAGCUGCAAACCUUAUCUAUUCCAUAUUCAAUCAACAGGAUCUGAUUAUUGGUAGACCUGAAGCUGUGUAUUUCUAUGAAGUCGAUGGUAGGGGUCCUUGCUGGGCAUUUGAUGGUGAGAAGAAGUUUGUAGGUUGGUUUCGAGGUUAUUUACUUUGCAUUAUGGAAGAUCAGAGGACUCAGAAGGGUACCCUUAAUGUUUAUGAUCUUAAGAAUCGGCUUAUUGCACGUUGCAUGCCUGUGGGGGAUGUUUCGCACUUGGUCUGUGAAUGGGGUUAUAUUAUCCUUAUUAUGGCUGACAACAAAAUUCUGUGCAUUGGAGAAAAAGACAUGGAAAGUAAGCUUGAUAUGUUGUUCAAGAAAAAUCUUUAUACAGUUGCAAUCAAUCUUGUACAAAAUCAGCAGGCAGAUCCUGCUUCAACUGCUGAGGUGCUGCGGAAGACCAUCUGUAUGGGAAACAGGAAUAUGAUGAGGCUAUGUCCCAGUAUAUCCACACUAUUGGUCAUCUUGAGCCAUCAUAUGUUAUGCAGAAGUUCCUUGAUGCAAAGCGCAUCUACAACUUGACAAAUUAUUUAGAGAAGUUACAUGAUAGAGGGUUAGCAUCCAAAGACCACACCACCCUUCUGUUGAACUGCUAUACCAAAUUGAAAGAUGUGGAGAAACUUAAUGAUUUCAUCAAAGAUGAAGAUGGGAUAGGUGAAAUCAAGUUUGAUGUGGAAACUGCCAUAAGAGUAUGCCGUGCUGCUGGAUAUCAUGAACAUGCUUUGUGGCAAAAAAGGCUGGGAGGCAUGAGUUGUACUUGAAGAUUUUACUUGAGGAUCUGGGUAGAUAUGAUGAGGCACUGCAAUAUAUAUCUAGCCUUGAGGCAAAUCAAGCAGGUCUUACUGUAAAAGAAUAUGGGAAAAUUUUUGUGGAACAUAGACCUGCUGAAACAGUUGAAAUACUGUUAAGGCUCUGCACGGAUGUUGGAGAUCCUACGACAAGAAGAGGUUCAAACAGCAUGCACUUGCUUAUGAUACCGUCGCCCAUGGAUUUCGUGAAUAUAUUUGUGCACAGCCCACAAUAUCUGAUGGAAUUUCUGGAAAAUUAUAUCAAAGCGGUCAAGGACUCGCCUGCGCAAACAGAAAUUCAUAACACCCUUCUGAAGCUUUGUCGGGAAGUAGGCGUGUGACCGUUAGAGGUAGGCCCAGGUAUUUUAUCGGGAAGUUCCUCCGCGCGACCGGGAGGUUGCGUAGCACUUCGUGUAUGUGAAUGUUGGUGCAGCUUAUCGGUGCGGCGCUUGUUUUUUUUGGAUGUUUGUCUUGAGGCUGGUCGCUUCCCUGAAAUUUUGUAGUAGGUUCUUCAAAUUCGUGACGUCUCGUGUGGUGGGUUUGAUGAAAUUACCGCGUCGUCAGCGUACAUGGAUGUUCUCAUUCUUGACGCUUGGCUGUUCAUCUUGUUAAGCAGGCCUUUCUCCGUGGCGACCGUCAAGAGGCGUUGUAGCGGGUCUAUCGCUAGGAUGAAAAGUAGCGGUGAGAGCAGGUCACCUUGUCGAAGUCCUCUUCCAUGUUGUAUAUGGUCCAAGGGGAUCCCAUUCAGCAAAAUUCACGAUGUUGAUGUGGUCAGGAUGGCCGUGAUCCAGUCCCUCCAUUUCUAUGGGAAUCCUCUGUGUUGCAUCAUCGUGAGUAGGUAGUCCCACCGUAUUGAGUCGAAAGCCUUGGAUAUGUCAAGCUUCAUGAGCAAAGCCGGUUCUUUGUUUCGGUGGAAUCGGUGUGCCAUGUUUCGUAGUAGAGGAAGUUGUCAUGGAUGCUUCUUCCUUUGAUGAAGGCGCUUUGAUAGGGUGAGAUCAGUUGGUGCAUGAAUGCAGCUAGGCGUAGGGCUAGGAUCUUUGUUAUGAUCUUCGUAAUAGUGUGAAUUAGGCUAAUGGGUCUGAAGUCUGCGAUGUCCUCCGCGCCAUCCUUUUUGGGGAUUAGGAUGAUUGUGGCCUUGUUUAGCAAGUUUUAAGUCUGCGCAGUGAGAGUUGUGUAGGGAGUUGAUUGCUGCCAUGAGGUCGUACUUGAUCGUCUCCCAGCAGGUGUUGAAGAAGAUACCUGUGUAGCCGUCAGGUCCCGGUGCUUUGUUUUUUGGCAUUUGUGUGAUGGCAUGCGGGACUUCCUCUUCUGUAAAAGGGUUGUCGAGUGAAGAGAGGUCGACCGUGGGUAAUUUAGUGUUGGCCAGUUUAAAUCGAGCGUUCUGAGUGGCAGUUCCUGCAUGAUACUGUCAAAAUGUUCCUACACAACUCGUUGUUUGUUGUUAUGGGAAAAGACCCAGAAACCGUAGUCUUUGUAUGAAGUUCUUUCUUCUUCUUCCAUUUGCCUUUAAGUGGAAGAACCUUCUAUUGGCGUCUCCAUCUUUUAGGUAUGUGAUCCUGGAGCAUUGCUUUUUCUGGGCCUUCUCGAUGACUGCCCAUCCCAUAAGUCGCUGUUUUAAUUUUCCCCUUAGUCGUGUUUCUGCAGUGGACAACGUCCUGACAUCUUGUGCCUCAUCGAGAUGCAAUAUUACCUCCUGAGCCAUGUGCAUCUUCAUUCUUGCGUCGGAUAGCAUUGACGUGCUCCAUUGCUUUAGCGCCUUCGAUGUUACAUAUAGCUUAUGGCCCAGCUUGUGGAAAGGUUCCGUGUGAUGUGUCGGGGCAUUCCAAGCCGUGGAAACCACCUGUUGGAAAUGGGGCAGUCGUACCCAAAAAUUUUCGAAUUUGAAAGGUGUAGGGCAUCUGAGGGUGACAUGGGUGGUUAGUAGUAGGGGGCAGUGGUCGGAGUGGGAUGAUGAUAGCGCGUGGAGGAGGCAAUUGUCGAAUUGGACGUCCCAACUUUGGUUGCAAAACACUAUCAAGACGAACUAGCGUGGGUGUCCUUCGCUCAUUGCUCCAUGUGAAUUUUCUAUUUUGCAGGCUUAUCUCCUUUAGACCGCUGUAGUUGAUGGCAUUUUUGAAUCUAUUCAUUAGCCUCCGAUUGAGAUUCAUAUUGUUCUUAUCUCUUGCGCAGUAGAUUAAGUUGAAAUCCCCUAGUAUUAUCCAUUUUGUGUCGUUAGGUGGUUUGAGCGUCCGCAUGUGUCGUAGGAACGCUUCUUUUUCGGGUCGUCUCGCCAGGCCGUAUACAGUGGUUAGCAUGAAGGUUGUCAUGCAAUGUCGAAUUGUUACGUUUGCCGAAUUGAAUAAUGUCCGAUCGUUACGUUCUAAAUGUGUACUGUCGUGUCAUUCCAUAGCAGGAGGAUUCCUCCUUUCGUGCCUGUCGCCGGUUUAUACGCAACAGUUUAGUUUGUAGGCUCCCAGAAAGGUAGCCUAAGUGGAGUUGACCGAUUGUAAUUUCGUCUCUUGUAGGCACGUGAUUUGGCACGGCAUUGAAUUCAUUAUUUCGUGUACGGUUAGGCAUCGGGCUGCCGUGUUUAGACCUCGGACAUUCCAUGAUAAAAUAUCUAUGUUGCCGUUCGACAUGAUGCAGUGUUUUGUCUCCCAUCUUACACACCGCUUAGUUCAUCUGUACGUUCGUAGUCGUUGGCGGCUGUACGUUCGUAGUCGUUGGCGGUUGCUAUUUGUAGCGUUUGUUUGACGUUGGCAGUAGGUCGUCCUAAUUGCAUAGUGGUUCGUAGGUUCACGGUACACAUAGAUGCACGAAGGUCGAAGCUAGCAGGGCGUGUAGGUUUACGAGCCCGAAGGUCGCAGCCAGCAGAGCUUUGGAGUACAGCUGAUGAUAAAGAUGAAAGGAAUUGAUACAUGUAGUACCGGUUUACGCUCGAAGUCGUCGUCACAUCUCUAUGUUGUAGCCUCCCCAUUUACCUAUUGUAUCUCCACCGCGGCUAUACUUGCAUGAUGCAUUAGUGCUUCAUCCAGCAUGUUCGCUCCUUCGUCAUCGAGGUGAAAGAUGGCCGUCAUGGCUGCCAUGAUGUUCUCCAGGAGGGGUCCGCGGAACAUGGAGAGGAAGUCACGCAGAACCUCAUCGAUGGGUGCCAUCUCGUCGUUGGAGAUCCCCAGCUUGCGCCAUAAAUUCCUUUGCGCUUUUUUGGACGUCGGGAUGGACGAUUUCUUCGCUAGCCACGCACUUCUUACAACUGUCAUGUCAAAAGUGUGUCUGUGAUGUUGGCGACGCUGUCCUGGUUCCUGGAGCAGUGGCGGAGAAGGGGUGCAAAACAGAGAGUUUAUCUCUCUCAGGUCCUGGUCUCCGCCACCCUGCCCCUCCUGCUGGGCUUCAUCGGCUGCAAGGGCCGUGUUGGCCUCGCUGGUCAUGGCCUGGGUGUCGGACGUGGGCCUGCGUGGCUAGGCGGCGUGUGCCAGCAGGCCUAGCCAGGCCCCCAUUGUGGCGUCCGCCUCUUGGGCUGAAAGCAGAGCGUGGGACGGUCUGCUGGAGAUUGCAUGCAGCAGCCGUGUAGCCCUCCAGUAGAGGCAUAUGUAUGAAGACCUCGUAACGAGUGCCUUGUUGCCAAUAUGCCGAUGGAGGCUCGGCCGACACGGAGAAGAUGGAGGAUUUGGCCGCCGAACUGUGCGUGAAGGCGAGCCAGACCUUCUUUGGGAUCUCGCUCGGGUCCACCGUCCAUGCCCAAAGCUCAAUGUGCCUGGAGUCUGCCGGUUGGAUGAGGUCGGUGAUGAUGUGCUGCAGAGCGCACUUAUGGCCGAUGACUCUCUCAACGAUUUCCAGCGUCCAUGCGUGGGACGGAAUACUGUUGAGAUAGAGACGUAACCUGUAAAAAAUGCGGAAGCCGAGGGCGUGCAUGAGGCUGCACCACGGGCGGAGGUAGAUGUCGAUGCCCCCACCGGUGAAGCGUCCGUGGCAGCGCGCCUCCGCCGUGUGGGCUGCGUUGUCGAAGCGGACGAGGUAGGGCUCCGGUUGAUGUAGCGUGAAACCUGGGUGCUCGCAGGUGUGUUAGUACCUCCCUAAAUGGUUAGGGGUUGAAUCGAACCUGGGUGCUUGCAUUAUUGUGAGUAUCCCUCCCUAAGUGGUUCACUACUCCCCUUUAUUGUGACGUGAGUACCUCCCUAAAUGGUUCGGUACUCCCCUUUCUUGAGACAAAGGGGGGCAUUUUCUCCCGAUGGUUGAGUUUCCCCUUUCUUUUAGUUUUGGCAGUAUGACAUUGAAAUCAGAAUAUGUGAUUAAAAAUUUGCUUGCAUUGUAGCAUUGAAAUUCUUGAAAUUAAUGAUGACCCACUCCAAAGUUUCACUUGAAAUCUUGAAUAGAAGAAUGUCCUAUUGAUACAGCAAUUUGAGCAUGUCUAAAGAUUAAUAGUCCUAUAUCAAGCACAUGCACAAGUAAAUCUUUUAUAUUUCUCGUGUAUAAAAGAGGGAUUAUCAUAAUCAUUCUCAGAUGUAGCAUGAUUUGUGAUAAGCAAGAAUUAGUCUACAAUGAUUGAAAUCGAACAUGCUCUCAAACAAUACUUUUUUACAGGAGGAGACGGAAUUGAUGAAAAGGGAGAUUGAAGAUCUCAAGACAAAUGCGAAAGUUUUCCAACUCAGCAAGUGUACUGCUUGUACUUUCACCCUUGAUCUUCCAGCUGUCCAUUUCAUGUGCAUGCAUUCAUUCCACCUCCGCUGCCUUGGGGACAAUGAAAAAGAAUGCCCGGAAUGUGCACCUGAAUAUAGAUCUGUUAUGGAGGCAAAGCAGAAGCUAGAACAAAGCAGAAGCUAUUUUUCAGGCAGUUGAGGGGUUCGAAGGAUGGGUUUUCCGUGAUCGCAGACUAUUUUAGCAAGGGCAUAGUGAGCCAGACAACCGUACCGCCUGAGAACCGCCGAUAGGGAAGGACCACUUGUACUGCUUCGCCUCGUACAGCAAUUGUAUGGUGUUCUCUCCCUUUCUUCGACGAUUGAUGAUGUGCGAGUGCGCUCCUGCGUCCAUCAGUUAUAGCAGGUCGAGGUACAGAUAGCAAGUUUCCCUCAUGUACCGGGUCAUCCUAUCUUGCCUAUUUCAUCCAUGCUGUGAGUUUUUGUUGACAUGGCAUUGUAAAUACUCAGUGUCCGGCAGCCCAUUUUUCCGGGCAAAUGUUGCUUAGACCGUGCUGCACCUUCCAGCAUGAGUUUUGAUGUGUUUAGUUUAUGCCCUCAUUGUUUGACAACAGAAGUAUCACACAGAUCAUGCUUUUGUAUGUUUCAGCAGAUAUCACGUCAGUUUGGUUUUUGCAACCUUAUGUAUCCAUGCU
rnacentral:lncRNA from 1 species